rnacentral:rRNA from 1 species
GGUUAAAAAGCUCGUAGUUGGAUCUCGGCGGGCAGGGGGUGGUUCGCUCUUCAGCGCUACUGCCCCGCUUUGCCCGUGUGGUUGGCGGAGGUUUCGGGGUGCUCUUCGUUGAGUGACUCGGAGCGCCGUCAGGUUUACUUUGAAAAAAUUAGAGUGCUCAAAGCAGGCUUUUCACGCUUGAAUAUUCGUGCAUGGAAUAAUGGAAUAGGAACUCGUUUCUAUUUUGUUGGUUUUCGGAAAUCGAGUUAAUGAUUAACAGGGACAAUUGGGGGCAUUAGUAUUCAGACGACAGAGGUGAAAUUCUUGGACCGUCUGAAGACUGACUACUGCGAAAGCAUCUGCCAAGAGUGUUUUCAUUAAUCAAGAACGAAAGUUAGAGGUUCGAAGGCGAUCAGAUACCGCCCUAGUUCUAACCAUAAACGAUGCCAGCUAGCGAUCUGCCGAGUUUUUUUUGUAGGCUCCGCAGGAAGCUUUCGGGAAACCAAAGCUUUUGGGUUCCGGGGGAAGUAUGGUUGCAAAGCUGAAACUUAAAGGAAUUGACGGAAAGGCACCACCAGGAGUGGAGCCUGCGGCUUAAUUUGACUCCA